rnacentral:lncRNA from 1 species
GGAUUUAUCUGGUGGAGAAAAAUCCUGAAAUUUUUUUGGGGAAAAAAAAAUCCCUGAAAUUUGGGAUUUAUUUGGGGGAAAAUCCGAAAGUUUUGGAUUUACGAGAAGGGAAAAAAUGGUAAAAAUUUGGUGGGAAAUCCCAGAAAUUUGAGCUUCAGCUGUGCCCAAAAUUUGGGAUUUUUUUUUUUUUUUUGGAUGGGGAAAAAUGUGAAAAAACUGGGGGGAAAAAAAUCCUAAAAAAAGGGGGAGGAAAAAAUCCCCAAAAUUUGGGGAAAAUCCCCAAAUUGUCCCGAAUUUGUCCCAAAUUGGAGGGAGGGGACAGAGCCCUUCAGCCCUGGGCGAGGACAGGUGACAGCGGGAGGUGCCACCAGGUGUGCCCAGGUGCCACCAGGUGCCACCUCACCUGUCCAGGUGUCACCAGGUGUGUCCAGGUGCCACCUCAGGUGUGUCCAGGUGCCACCUCAGGUGUGCCCAGGUGCCACCUCAGGUGUGCCCAGGUGCCACCAGGUGUGCCCAGGUGCCACCAGGUGUGUCCAGGUGUCACCUCAAGUGUGUCCAGGUGCCACCAGGUGUGCCCAGGUGCCACCUCAGGUGUGUCACACCUGGCCCACAGGCACGGGGAGGUGACAGGUGCCACCAGGUGCCACCGACACACAGCGAAACCAACGGUGCCACCUCCUGUCCUGUCCUGGUGCCGUCCCCAGGUGCCUCCAGGUGUGCCCAGGUGCCACCAGCUCUCCCCAGGUGUCUCCAGGUGUGUCCCAGCUGUUCCCAGGUGCCACCAGGUGUGCCCAGGUGCCUCCAGGGUGUCCUCAGGGUGUCUCCAGGUGCUACCAGGUUUCUCUCGGGUGAUCCCAGGUAUGCCCAGAUGUCUCCAGGUGCCACCAGGUGUGCCCAGGUGCCUCCAGGGUGUCCUCAGGGUGUCCCCAGGUGCCACCAGGUGUGCCCAGGUGUCACCAGGUGUCCUCAGGAUGUCCUCAAGGUGUCCCAGGUGUCCCCAGGAUGUCCUCAGGGGAUUCUCAGGUGUGCCCACAUAUCUCCAGGUGUGCCCAGCUGUCUCCAGGAUGUCCUCAAGGUGUUCCCAGGUGUCCCCAGGUGUGCCCAGGUGUCCUCAGGAUGUCCUCAAGGUGUUCCCAGGUGUCUCUAGGAUGUCCCCAGGCAUGCACCAGGUGUCCCCAGGUGUACUCAGGUGCCCUCAGGAUGUCCUCAAGGUGUUCCCAGGUGU